CGGGUGCACUGAUCCGGCCGGGCCUUUCCCUCUGUGGAACCCCAUGGCCUUCACUGGCUGUGCGGGGGAAACAGGACUUUUACUGUGAAAAAAUUAGAGUGCUCCAGGCAGGCCUAUGCUCGAAUACAUUAGCAUGGAAUAAUAGAAUAGGACGCGUGGUUCUAUUUUGUUGGUUUCUAGGACCGCCGUAAUGAUUAAUAGGGACAGUCGGGGGCAUCAGUAUUCAAUUGUCAGAGGUGAAAUUCUUGGAUCUAUUGAAGACUAACUACUGCGAAAGCAUUUGCCAAGGAUGUUUUCAUUGAUAAGGAACGAAAGUUAGGGGAUCGAAGACGAUCAGAUACCGUCGUAGUCUUAACUAUAAACUAUGCCGACUAGGGAUCGGACGAUGUUAUUUCUUGACGCGUUCGGCACCUUUCGAGAAAUCAAAGUGCUUGGGCUCCAGGGGGAGUAUGGUCGCAAGGCUGAAACUUAAAGAAAUUGACGGAAGGGCACCACCAGGGGUGGAACCUGCGGCUUAAUUUGACUCAACACGGAGAAACUCACCAGGUCCAGACACAGUGAGGAUUGACAGAUUGAGAGCUCUUUCUUGAUUCUGUGGGUGGUGGUGCAUGGCCGUUCUUAGUUGGUGGAGUGAUUUGUCUGCUUAAUUGCGAUAACGAACGAGACCUUAACCUGCUAAAUAGCCCGUACUGCUCUGGCAGUUCGCCGGCUUCUUAGAGGGACUAUCGG
rnacentral:rRNA from 1 species